rnacentral:tRNA from 1 species
GAUUAAAUGGCUGAAAAUAGGCAAUAAAUUGUAAAUUUAUGUAUGAGAAAAAUUUCUCUUUAAUCA